GGGAAGGUGCCAGAGUGGUCGAAUGGGGCCGCCUGCUAAGCGGUUGUGGGGGCCUAAACCUCUACCCAGGGUUCGAAUCCCUGCCUUCCCG
rnacentral:tRNA from 1 species